rnacentral:rRNA from 1 species
ACGGCGUAGGAAUUCAUAGGAACGUACCCUCAGGACGGGGAUAGCUACGGGAAACUGUAGGUAAUACCCGAUGAUCUCCGCGGAGCAAAGGUGUGAUUCCGCCUGAGGAGCGGCUUAUGCGAUAUUAGCUAGUUGGUGGGGUAAUGGCCUACCAAGGCGAAGAUGUCUAGGGGGUGUGAGAGCAUGGCCCCCACGACCGGAACUGAGAUACUGUCCGGACACCUACGGGUGGCUGCAGUCGAGAAUCUUCCGCAAUGGACGAAAGUCUGACGGAGCGACGCCGCGUGCGGGAUGAAGGCCCUUGGGUUGUAAACCGCUUUCGGAGGGGAUGAAAUCCUCGAGGGUUCUCCCUCGAGGUUGACAGAGCCUCAAAAGAAGCACGGGCUAAGUACGUGCCAGCAGCCGCGGUAACACGUACUGUGCGAACGUUAUUCGGAAUCACUGGGCUUAAAGGGUGCGUAGGCGGCGAUUCAAGUCAGAUGUGAAAUGCCUGAGCUCAACUGAGGCAUUGCGUUUGAAACUGAAUUGCUAGAGUAUUUCAGGGGUGUGCGGAACUGCCAGUGGAGCGGUGAAAUGUGUUGA